rnacentral:misc_RNA from 1 species
UGAUUUAGGCAAAAGUGCUCGUGACUUAUUUUCCAGUGGAUAUCAUUUUGGUCUAAUUAAGUUGGAUGUAAAAACAAAAACUAAGUCUGGUGUAGAAUUCUCUAGUGGUGGGGUAUCUAAUCAAGAUAGUGGAAAAGUAUUUGGUACUUUAGAAACCAAAUAUAAUAUUGACGACUAUGGAUUGAAAUUUAGUGAAAAGUGGAAUACUGAUAAUACACUUGCUACUGAUGUUACUUUUGCCGACAAAUUGCUCAAAGGUCUUACCCUUGGCUAUGGCUGUACUUUCUCUCCACAAACAGGGACCAAGACUGGAAAACUGAAGACAUCUUACAAACAUGAGAAUGUAUCAGCCAAUGCUGAUUUUGAUCUUAGUCUUUCUGCUGGUCCUUUGGUAAAUGCAUCAACUGUUGUAGGAUACCAAGGUUGGUUGGCUGGAUAUCAAGCUUGUUUUGAUACACAAAGAAAUAAGCUUACAAAGAAUAACUUUGCACUUGGAUAUACCGCAUCUGACUUUACUCUUCACGCAGCAGUGAACAAUGGCUGUGACUUUAGUGGCCUCAUUUAUCACAAAGUGAAACCAGAACUAGAAGGCGCAAUUAAUCUGGAGUGGAAUUCAAGCAACAAUGUGACACAAUUUGGAAUUGCUACAAAAUAUAAUCUUGACCCAGAUGCAUCUAUCAGAGCUAAAGUUAAUUCUAAUCUUCAAAUUGGUCUAGGAUAUCAACAAAAGUUACGUGAUGGUGUAACUCUGACACUUUCUACAAAUAUUGAUGGAAAGAACUUUGGCUCUGGUGGUCACAAGAUUGGUCUUGCAUUAGACUUACAAGCUUAAAUAUGAAUCAGACACGAAUGGAUUAGAUUCACUCAAAAGGUCUUUUCAUGGCCUUUGUGUCAUAAAGACAGUAUCACAGUACAUGCUUCAAAGUAUUGCCUAUAACAUAUAGAUAGGUUUAUCCCAAAAUAGAUGCCACAUAUAAUACGUAUAAACAUGGUAUGGUAACAAUAUCUUAUCAUGAACAAUACGGUUUACAAAUUCUUAACCGAAAUAGAAGUGUUCUAUUUUUUCCUCUAUAAUUCUCUCAUAUUUAAUAUGGUGCAGCCUUUUACCAGUUCCUGAUGAACAUGCAGUCUACUGAAAUCAAAUGUUAAUUACUCUGAACUUAAUUAUAAAAAAUAUACUCAUGGAGUAAUGUUGAUUGCAAAUACGUAUAAAAUUAAAUACGUAUAAAAUUAAAUGUGUUUAAACAUUUCUGGAAAUAUAUUUUUCAACUCAGUAUUAAAUGUUACCAAGUUACAAAGUAACUAUAAAUUCAGUGAUUGAUUUCAAAAUAACACAGUAUGAUGCUGCACAUACAUUUUUGUAGCUACACAAAUAAUAUUAAUGACCGAAUUUAUUGUAAAAAUACCUGCACUUAAUAUUAUAUUAAAUAAAUAGCUACGUACAGGGACUUGAGAUUAAAUGAUGUCAAAUAUCAAGUACAGUUACUUUUCAUUUGCAGAAUGAGAUAACAUUCAUUCCUAUCUGUAUAAUCAAUAUAAAACAAUACUGCCAGCGUGAUUAUUUUAGAAUUGAAACAAAUUGAGAAAUACAUGUUCGGUUACGAAGAUUCCAAUAAUUUAGUCUGGCAUCUUAUAUAAAGAUUUCACAUUUUUUAAAUAGUACAUAGUAAUAAAUACUUUUAGUUAUAAAUAAUUCCACAGUCUUGUCUUAUGUAGCACUUAUAAUGCAUAAGAGGUUUG